rnacentral:rRNA from 1 species
UCAAAAUGACUCUCGGCAACGGAUAUCUCGGCUCUUGCAUCGAUGAAGAACGUAGCGAAAUGCGAUACGUGGUGUGAAUUGCAGAAUCCCGUGAACCAUCGAGUUUUUGAACGCAAGUUGCGCCCAAAGCCUUUUGGUUGAGGGCACGUCUGCCUGGG